UGGGGAAUUUUGGACAAUGGGGGCAACCCUGAUCCAGCCAUUCCGCGUGAGUGAAGAAGGCCUUCGGGUUGUAAAGCUCUUUCGCAAGGGAAGAAAACUUAGUCUCUAACAUAGACUGAGGUUGACGGUACCUUGAUAAGAAGCACCGGCUAACUACGUGCCAGCAGCCGCGGUAAUACGUAGGGUGCGAGCGUUAAUCGGAAUUACUGGGCGUAAAGCGUGCGCAGGCGGCCUGAUAAGUCAGAUGUGAAAUCCCCGAGCUCAACUUGGGAACUGCGUUUGAAACUAUCAAGCUAGAAUAUGUCAGAGGGGGGUAGAAUUCCACGUGUAGCAGUGAAAUGCGUAGAGAUGUGGAGGAAUACCAAUGGCGAAGGCAGCCCCCUGGGAUAAUAUUGACGCUCAUGCACGAAAGCGUGGGGAGCAAACAGG
rnacentral:rRNA from 1 species